rnacentral:lncRNA from 1 species
AUGGAGGAGGUGGUGCAGAUGGCGGGCUCGGUCAUGGCGAGGAAUACCAAGAACGGCGUCGAUCGGCCAAGAACGGCGUCGAUAAGUAACUGAAGGUAGACAUCUCGUACCUUUCCUGUUGAUUCUUUCGCUUUUCCUUGAGAUCAAAAGCGAUGUAGUUUCUUCUUUCACUUCGCGAUCUCCUUCGCGAGAGCGAAAGUGCUGAUAACAUGUUGAAAGUGAAUAAGAUUGAUUGAGCGAGAGGGAUUGAGCGAGAGAGAAUUGCACACAAGAAUGUAGGGAAUGAAUGAGCGGUAUCUUUAUUGAUCGAUGCGGUAUAAUAUAUAGAUAGGGAAGGGGUGGCAACCGGAGACGCGAUGGUUGGGAACCAUCACGUCCGUUGCCAAGGAGCGCCUAGGGAAGGCGCGGUUGCCUUCGGUUGCGAUCCAUCCUUUUAUAUGGAUGAGAUCACCCUGUUGUUUCAUAACAUGAUCAAUGGAUCUGACAGGAACCGAAAAGGAGAGGAUGGUCAUCUGGUCAAGCGAUGCAACAAAAUUUAUAACUCCGUAUUUUUGUUACUGUUCUGGUAUGGUUCACAGUUGGCAGCGUUACCGGAAGCUUUUGUUGGUGGCUAUCCUCGUGGAUCCACAUUUGGCUUCAGGAUCAGCGUCUAAAGUUUAAUAAAUAUUAGUAUUAGGAUCGUUACAUAUUAAAUUUGUGAAUAUGAACCUUAAGGUUAACCAAUUUUGUGGUUUUUAUCUUCGGUAUAAUUUCAUGAGCUAUUAUAGCCUUCGACGAAAAUUGAUGAGUAUUGACCAUUUGAAAAAAAAACAUUAAAGCUGAGUUCUUAUCUCCACUUCUCUAACCCACAUCUCUCGUUUUCCGCGCGCACGCUUUUCAAACUGCUAAACAGUGUAUUUUUUACAAAAAAAAUUUAUAUAUGAAAGUUACUUUAAAAAAUUAUAUUAAUCCAUUUUCCAAAUUUAUUUUAGCUAAUACAUUGAACACAGCCUAAUAGUGUUCUCCUGCCCAACAUUUUGUGAGUACUAGUAUUGGGAUCAUUGCACAAGAAAUUCAUGAAUAUUAACAUUAGGAAAACAGAAUUCAUAACUUUUAUAAAAAACAUGAAUAUUUUUCUCAUGCACAAAAUUUGGUGAGCAUUAAAAUUGGAAUCGCCAUGCACAAAAUUCAUGAAUAUUAACGUUAUGGAAAAAAACUCAUGAUUUUUAUUCUUUAGCCUGUAAUUUCGUGAGUUAUAGCCUUUGGCCAAAAUUUAUAAGUAAUAAACUUUGGAAAAAAAACAUGUGUGGUUAUUUAUUUCUCACCCAAAAUUUUACGACUAUUUGCCUUGGGCCCAUACGAAACAAAAUUCAUGAAUAAUAACCUUAGGGCAAAGAAAUACAUGAUUUUUAGCCCCCUGCGUAUUAUUUCAUGAGUUAUAGCUCAUGAAUUAUAAAAAUCAUCGAUCAUAUUUUUAAUGCUCGUGAAAAUUUUAAUAUUAACCUUUUAAAAAACACGGAAUUAUUUUAGGCCUAUGGAAAAUAAUAUUAACGCUACAACAUCAAAUUUUAUGAUUUUUUUAUCCUUCACCUUAUAAUUUCAUGAGUUAUAUCCCUCAAGCAAAAUUUAUUAGUAUAAACCUUUGAAAAAAAAUACAUGAAUAUUUAUUUAUGACCCAAAAUUUCUUGAUAUUUAUCUCAGGCCCAUUUCUUGAAUAUUAACCUUAUUAUAAAAAAAAUUCCAUGAAUUUUAGUCGGCCUAUAAUUUCGUGAAUUAUAGAAUUUAGCAAAAAUUGACGAGUAUUAACCUUUUGGGAAAAAAGAAACGCAUGAAUAUUGCUCUCUGUUCCAAAAUUUCACAAGUAUUAUCAUUAGGGUCGUCGCACUAAGGAGUAAAAUUUUCAUGAUUUCUAGCCUUUGCACUAUAACUUUGUGAGUUAUAGCCUUCUACUCAAAUUAAAGAGUAUUAACCUUUUGGGGAAACCAUACGCAUAUUUAUCUCCAGCGCAAAAUUUCAUGAGUAUUUGCCUUGGGUCAGUUCAAAAAAGUUUCAUUAAUAUGAACGUCAUGACAAAAAAAUCAAGAUUUUUAUCCAUCGGCAUAUAGUUUUAUGAGUUAUAGCCUUGGGAGAAUAUAUGGCACGGAUAUUUAUUCCCGGCCAAAAAUUUCUUGAGUAUUUGCCUUGGGCCCAAUCGAAACAAAAAAAUUCAUGAAUACUAACAUUUAUCCCGAACUGACCCAAGGCAAAUACUCAUGAAAUUUUGGGCUGGAGAUAAAUACCGGAGGUUAUAGCCUCCAGUAUAUAAUUUCGGUAGUUAUAGCCUUUAGCUAAGACUGAUGGGUAUUAUCCUUGGGGGGGAGGGGGGAUGAAUCAAUUUUUUUUCCAACCAAAAUUUUCAUGGUAUUAGCAUUGUAGUCACUGCACACAAAAUUCGUGAACAUUAACCUUUUGAGCAAAAGGUUUGUGAUUUUUAGCGGUCAUCCAAUAAUUUUGUGAGUUAUAGCCUUCGAAGAAAAAUAUGUGAGUAUUAUUAACCUUUUGGAAAAUAAAUGCAUGAAUAUUUUUUUCUCAAUCCAAAAUUUUAUCAGUACAACUAUUGGGAUCGUUCGACACAAAAUUCAUGAAUAUUAUUGUUAGGACCAAACAUUUCAUGAUUUUCAUCGUUCGAUCUAUAAUUUCAUGACUUAUAGCCUUCGAGCAAAAUCCAUGAGUAUUAACCUUUGGAAAAAAACAUGAAUAUUUAUCCCAUCGCAAAAUUUCACGCGCAUUUUCAUUGGCCCACUUGGAGAGAGAAAAAUGUGAAUGUUAAAGUUAGGAUCAAAACUUUCAUGGUUUUUAGCCUGACAUAUUAUUUCGGGAGUUAUAGCCUUCGGCAAAAAUUGAUGAGCAUUAACCUUUCUCUCUGACAUAUUAUCAGUAUUUCUCUCUGGCCCAAAAAUACAUUAGUAUUAUCAUUGUGGUUGCUGCACACAAUAAAAAUUAGGGGAAAAUUUUGUGAUUUAUAACCUUCAACAAAUAUAUGAGUAAUAACCUUUGGGAAAAAUGCAUGAAUACUUUUCGUCGAUCGUUGAGCAUAAAAUCCAUGAGUAAUAUACUUAGGACCAAAUGUUUUAUGAUUUUUUAUCGUUCAUCCAAUGAUUUCGUGAGUUAUAUCCUUCAACUAAAACUCCUAAGUAUUAACCAUUGGAAAAUAUGCAUGAACUAUGGUCCAAAAUUUCAAGAGUAUCUGAGUUGGGCUUAUUUGGAACAAAAUUCAUGAACAUUAACCUCUGGAUUUAAAAGUCAUUUUUUUAGCUUCCGGCUUGGUAUUAAUGAUCUGAGAAAAAUGCAUGAAUAUUUUUCUCUAGCAACAAAAUCCGUGAAAAUUAAAGGAUUUUUUUUGGGGGGGGAAUAAAUAGUUUUUUCCGACCCAACAAAUCAGAUAACAUAUUUUUUAGGCUUUGGCCGAAAUUCAUGAGUAUUAAGUUUUAGAAAAAUAAAUGAAUAUUUAUCUCUAUCCCAAAAAUUCACGAAUAUUUGCCUUGGGCCCAUUCAGAACAAAAUAAUUCAAUAUUAAUAUUACGAUAAAAAAAUAUAUGUUUUGCCCUUCAACCUAUAAUUUCAUGAUAUAUAUCCUUCGGGCUUCUGCCAAACUUUCCUUGCUAUGAACCUUUGAGAAAAAAACCCUUGAAUAUUGUUCUCCAUGCCAUAUUUCACAACAACCAGCAUUGGCGUCAUUGCGGAUAAAAUUCACAAAUGUACACAUUAGGACAAAAAUUUCAUGAUUUUAAAACAUUUCUCCGACCGAAAAUUUCAAUAGUAUUAGCCUUGAAACAUUUCUACAUAAAAUUCGUGAAUGCUAACCUUAGGAUGAAGAAAAUUCGAUAUUUUUUAGCCUUUGGCCUAUUAUUUCAUGAUCUUUUGGGGAAAAUGCAUAAAUAUUUUUUUCACUCCAAUAUUUCAUGAGUAUUUGCACUGGGAUCGACGCACAUAAAAUUUAUGAAUAUUAACCUUAUAUCUUAUAAUUUUGUGAUUUUAGCCUUCGGCCUAUAAUUUUGUGAGUUAUAGCCUUCGAAAAAAUUGUUGAAUAUCAAACUUCUGAAAAAAAAUCAUGAAUAAUUUUCUCCGACCCAAAUUUGAAGAGUAUUGCCUUGAAACCAUUCUUCAUAGAAUUCAUGAAUGCUAACCUUAGGACCAAACAUUUCGUGAUUUUUAGCCUUCGCCCUAUAAUUUUGUGAGUUAUAACCUUUGGCCAACAUUUAUGAAUAUUAACCUUUUGAAAACAAAAUGCAUGAAUAAUGUUCUACAGCCUAAAAUUUUAGCACUAUUAGCAUUCACAAAAAUCGUGAAUAUUAGACGUAGGAGUUUUUUUUUUCCUUCGGUCUAUAACUUUCGUGAGUUCUUGCCUUGGGGGAAAUUGAUGAGUAUUCAAAUUUUGGAAAAUAAAAUGCAUGAAUAUUGUUCUCUUGCCCAAAAUUUCAAGGAUAUUAGCUUUGGGAUUGUUACACACAAAAAUUCGUGAAUAUAGUUAUUGCGUUCGGAAAGACAUGCAUAAAUAUUUAUCUCCAGCCUAUAUAAUGUCACGAGUUAUAGUGUUGGCGUCACACUUCAAUUUCUUUGUCAUAUAGUACUCACUAGUGUAUGCACUAUGCAGCAGGUAUCGACAUAUAUUGUGCUCCGGCCCGUUGCUGAUUGAUUCCAGGUAAGUUUGGCAAAGCGUCCAUGACUCAUAUUGUCAUAUUGCCUCCAUGACAACAAGCGAGGGGAAAUGCUUUAGGUGAAUAACCGGAGGAAGUAUCCGGAUGAUGUAUUUGCUCCUGGUCUAGGUGAAUAGCCUUCUCUGGACACUGUUGUCUGCCCUGGAGGUAGUUUUGAUAACAUUGACAGGUAUCUGGAUUGGCAGGUCCCAAGUACGACGGAGAGGCCGGCGCAGAUUAGAGCUGAUCUAUAGGUAAUCACAUAUGUCCAUAAUAUAUGUUUUUUUUAAUAUAAAUGUUUCCGCACAACAAAUUUGUUUCAGUGCUCCCUCAGUUUUCUGGCGCCAACUUUCCAAUAGUUGUGAGAUAAUUAAUUCAUAUACUGUACCUGUUGCUAUAUAAGAGCAAGUUCAAUAGUAUAGCCAACUACUAGCUCCAAUUCAUCUAUAGUCAAUCUAAUAGCCCAUUCAUACAAUAGUUACAUACUACACUAUUAAUAUCUAGUCCCACCUGUCAUAGACACACUGCGUCUUGGAGUCCGUGCUACAGCUGGCUACAAAUCUGUAGCCCGUUGCUCUUCUCUCUCUUGAUUUAUCUUCGUAAAAUAUGUUUGUAGCUGGCUUAUAGCCUGCCAUUGUACCUGCUCUAACGCAGCAAAGUGUGAUGAAUGUUGGUGUUGAUGAUGGGAUCAUGGGAAGUAACCAUGAGAUAACAGAGGUAUUGUUCGAUGGAGUAAGUGUAUUAUAUGUAUGUAAAUAUUAUAUUAUUGUAAAUCAUUUUGAGGAGCUAGACUAGCGUGCCUUAUUAACAAGGAGAUAUGUACCAUUACAUGAUGAUUAACAUAUAAAUCUGUAGCUACAUGGAAUUAAGGUAGUGGAGCAGAGGAGGAAGGAUGAUAGAAGACUCCAAUUCUCCAUGGAUGGGAAUGGGAUCAGGUGGCCUUGCAGAACUCUCCGCCCAGAUCGUCGCACGCCUCCUCGGGGAACACCCUGCGUGCAAUUUUGUGUUUUCCGAUUUCAGUUCCAGUUAGUUACACUAGAUUUCAUCAGUUGGGUAGUAUAGUAGUAGAGCUUAAUUAAUUACGUGGUGGGCUCGUCGUAGGAUAGGUAGUCCCUGUCGACUUCCUCCGCCGCCGCACGAGAAACAGCAACAGCAGCCGAUGAUGAGAGCUUGGCCUCUGGGUACAUCUGCACGUUGCACGCCUCGCCGCCGAUGAGGUCGCACGCCUCCAUCGGAAACACCCUGCGCGCAGUAGUCAAUUUCACUUCAUGGCAUAUACUGUACUAUAUACUACUAGUAAUGGUAUGAUGAGUUGCAUUGCAGUGCACAAUGCAAUGGUGAGUUUGGUACAAACAUAAUUGGUGCCUAGGCUAGGAUCAAUCGAUAGAUGCAUCAUGUAUAGACAGACAAUUGUAGUACUUACGAGAUGUUAGAGCUGUAGUCCACCUCCGCAGCCUCCACUGCCACCGCCGCCGCCGCCGCACGAACGCGCAACGCAACACGGCGAGGAGCCUGAAUCUGCAGGCUGCGCCCCUUCACAGCAGCGGGCAACACGGCCGACAAUCCAACGACACUGCUAGCAGCGGUCUGCAUCUUCUUCUUCUUCUUUCUUCUUCUUCUUCUUUUGCUUAAUUAGCUUGGUGGUAGAUAUCUUCUUUCUUCACAUCCUCCUCUCUUUAUACAUCUCCAGUCAAGUGUGCCACAAGGCCGGGAUAUCCUUCCUGCCCCUUCAAUUCCCUCUUUUCUAUGGAUAAGAUUCAGCUGAUAUGUGGUGUUCUCCCAUUUGGCUUGCUCGCUACAGGGCCCCACCCCCAAUGCCCCGCAUCUUUGUACUCUUGUAAAGAUAUUUCUACCCUAUCUCUUCAUACUUAUCUUACCUCAAUUCUUACAAAAUUGCAAAACAGGCACAGCCAAAAAAGGACAGCAUGCAGUUGAUGUUGCAGUAAGAAAACAACCUACCUCCGAGAUAUUUUCUUCUUCCCUCCCUGUUCACCUUCUCUUUUCUUUGCACAAUCCACUAGAAAGAAUACUUUGUACAAUUUUUAGGUGGCAAGCAAGCAGAAGCAGGCAACCUAUUGAUGUUGUACUUGCAACCAAGCACGCUUCCAAUGACACUAGGACAGUAUUCCAAAUUGAAAGAACCACCACCACCGACAAAGCAUCAUAUGAUGCAUCUAAUCAACCUCAACCCAUCACAACUCGAAAUCCCCUUUUCUAAAAGGCAGAGUGGAAGAUAUAAGACUGCAAGCUCGGUUUAACAAAUCAAGGCGACUCAUGAAGAGAAACACAUACACAGAUUAAUUGUUCAACUGCAAUUGCAUAGCAAUGGGUUCUCACGUCAAUGCCAAUCACAAGCAAAGGUACAUGAAUUACUGUUCUAACUGCGGAUUGAUGCUCGAGGGACUGCUGGCAAUCCUAGCUCAUCCACCUGCACCAGAUAGCACCAGGCAACAUUCAGUACAAGCUUAAAACAGGUAAACUACGGACCAAUCUAAUUGGUUCAUACAAAACAUGGUUGUUUUAGCUGUUGAUCAACAAUGCACCUAGUCUAUGCAAGAAUAUUUGAACUUGGGAUAGUGAACAACAGACACUGCUAACUCAUGAAUAACAACUUCUUAAGAAAAAAGGAAAGGAAAAUUCAUCAUUCAUUCCUCUAGUACAUACAUGGGACUAGAUAGUUCUCGAAUCAUCAUGACAAAGCAAGCAUCUGAAUAAAAAUAACAAUAAUAUAAACUAACCUGCUGCCUGCUUACUGGGACUGCUGCAGGAGCGGUAGGUGCAGCUGGCAAAUUAAGCUCUGCAUCGAAAUCGGAUUCCUUGUCUGGUUGAAGAUACGAUGGGACUGCACUUGACUCAAACUCCAUAUCAGCCUCCAAAGCAUCCAGUUCUGCAAUGUUCAAGAAACAACGACAGUAGAUAGAUUAUUAUCUCCAGCCCUGCAAUG